AAAGCAGAAAAAUUCCCAUGACUGUGACUGAUCUGGAAGGUUUCAUCUCCUUCUUCUGUGUAUGGAUAUCCCACGCUUGCUUACAGUGAAAGAGCCUGAAGCAAUACCCUGAAGUAUUCACUGUAUCCAAGGACCUUAUUUCAGAGCCUGUGCAUAAGAGAGAAGUUAAAUACCAUGUAUGGCAGCAGUAUGUUCACUUCCGCUUGUCAUACCUGCUUUCAAGACUCAUUUGACUUUGCUCAUCGACUCUGAACUGUGGUUACAACCACCACAUGUAAUCACCAGGGAUCUACACUGCAGCAUCGCCGUGCAAGUCCAUUCUUACUGCUCUGUUGCAUCUUAGCUUUCAGGAUGAAAACUCGU